rnacentral:rRNA from 1 species
CACGUAGGAGACUAGCGUUAUUCGGAAUUACUGGGCGUAAAGGGCGCGUAGGCGGUCUUUUAAGUCUUGUGUGAAAUCCCUCGGCUCAACUGAGGAACUGCACGGAAUACUGGAAGACUUGAGUUCGGGAGAGGGAAGCGGAAUUCCGGGUGUAGCGGUGAAAUGCGUAGAUAUCCGGAGGAACACCGGUGGCGAAGGCGGCUUCCUGGACCGAUCACUGACGCUGAGGCGCGAAAGCUAGGGGAGCAAACGGG